rnacentral:ncRNA from 1 species
ACAAGGUUUGGUUCUGGCCUUAAAGUUGGUUUUUUCAUAAAAAAAUACAUGACACUACAAGGAAUUAGUGAGAUCGCUUAUUUAAUAGGCGUUAAAAACGUCUUUAUUUGCUUAAAGUAUUAUUUAUAAAAACAAGAUACUUUGAUUAUUCCACUUCCAUCAGUAUCAAAGAUUAAAAACAAAGGAAACUUAGGUUUAGUUAUUGAAUAAAGGGUUGGUAAAUUAUGGUGCCAGCAACCGCGGUUAAACCAUUAACCCAAAUCAACUAACAACAGCAAAAAAGACGGUUAGAUAUUUUCAUUAAACAAAGAAUAGUAAUUUAAAUUAAUAAAGUAUAAUUUUUUAAAAAAAAAAUCCGUAAUAUUCUUUAUUAUUGACGCCGUAACAUCUUUUACAAAAACUAGGAUUAGAUACCCUACUAUUUAAAGAAAUAAAUAUUAAUUUAAUUUUGCUUGGGUAUUACGAACACAUGUUUAAAACCUAAAGGACUUGGCGGUACUUUAACCCACUUAGGGGAACCUGUCCUUUAAUUCGAUAAUCCACGACAAUCUUAUUUACUUUAGAACAUUUCAGCUUGUAUACCGUCGCCAUAAGUUAACCUUAAAAAGAAAAAAAGUUAACAAUAAAGAUUAAAUUAUUUUGAUAAAUUUUCUCAUAGGCCAGAUCAAGGUGCAGCCAAUAAGUAAAGAAGAGAUGGGUUACAAUUAAUAAAUUCUAAUGGAAUCUUAAAAGAAAAAUAAAGAACAAAAUAGGACUUAAAAGUAAUUUGUAAAAAUCACUACAAAUGAAUAAGGAAAUAAAGUGUGUACAUAUCGCCCGUCGCUCUCAUUGAAAAACGAGAUAAGUCGUAACAUAGUAGAUGUAGCGGAAGCUGCCUCUAACAUAAA